AAAUUGAAGAGUUUGAUCAUGGCUCAGAUUGAACGCUGGCGGCAGGCCUAACACAUGCAAGUCGAACGGUAAGAGGAAGCAGCUUGCUGCUU
rnacentral:rRNA from 1 species